rnacentral:lncRNA from 1 species
GUAGAUCGCCUUCUUCUCCAUAAAAAAGUGUCCCUAUAUAAAUAAAAAAUGUAAUUAGUAAUAUUAUUUUAACAGAAGUAAAUAUAAUUUUUAUCAAGAUUGCCAAUUGGCUAUCUAUAUAUCUCAACUAUUCUCAUCCCUAUUUUGUUUUAUUUGUUAAAUUUUGAAUUGAAUGUAGUAGUAUUUUUUUUUUUUGUCAACCAUUCGUUUUAUUAAAACGAAAGCCCAUUAAUGGGUAAAUUUUACAAACUUUUUUAAGACCAAGAGUAAAGAGAUAAAAAGAACCCUAUUAAAAUGAUAUUACACGUUAUAGAUACGUGUUUGAUGUUAAAAACAAAAGGGUCCACAUGACAUUAGCAGAGAGAAAAUCAAUGGGUUCACCAUCAAUUGCUCACCGCCGCUUCCUUCAUCGGCACCGUAGAAAUCUAAAUCUUCGUUGAGUGUUUCCAAACUUCAAUUCUUCGACAUCUCCGAUUUGUUUUGCCAAUAACUCUCUUUACUUCAAAAGUCUUUAAAAGAGAUGAAGCUUGUAGUCAUGCUCUUGACUCUUCUCUCUACAAAUUCAUCUGCUGUUUGUAUUUGAACAACCUUGAAUAGGCUUCAGCUUGAUUCAGUCUCUAAAGCUAAAGCUCCGCCUUAGACCUAAGUAGAAGGUCUUCUUUAAGCCUAAUCGGCAAUAACGGCGAAGAAAUUACUUAGUCUUUGAGAGGGAGAAUCAAGUUGGAGAUAAGCUCGAUCACAAACAAGCAGGAUUUGAAACUAAAUUCUUGUAGAAGAGAAGAUAAGAAAAACAAAAGAAAACUAAAAUCCUAAUUUAGUCGGGAACAUAAGUAAACUGAAACAAAAGAACCGACUAAUAGGAAGUAUAGAUCCGACUAAAUCUGAAAAUAUAUAUAAAACAAAAUAUCCAGUUAACUUAGGAAUAAAAUUCCGGUUAACCGGAAAUCUCCACUCUCUCUCUGAAAGAUGUAAGUGUGAUAAGAGAGAGAGUCUUUACGAAACUUCGAAUUGAAUGUAGUAGUAGUAUACAUUCAAAAUUAACGCUGUUAAUGUCG